UGGGGAAUCUUGGACAAUGGGGGAAACCCUGAUCCAGCGAUACCGCGUGUGUGAAGAAGGCCUUCGGGUUGUAAAGCACUUUAGGUGGGGAAGAAAGGUAGACGAGGAAUAUUUGUCUGCUAUGACGGUACCCGCAAAAUAAGCACCGGCUAACUCUGUGCCAGCAGCCGCGGUAAUACAGAGGGUGCAAGCGUUAAUCAGAAUGACUGGGCGUAAAGGGCGUGUAGGUGGUUGACUAGGUUUGAUGUGAAAUCCCCGGGCUUAACCUGGGAAUGGCGUCGAAAACGGGUUGACUAGAGUGAGAGAGAGGGUUGUGGAAUUUCCGGUGUAGCGGUGAAAUGCGUAGAUAUCGGAAAGAACAUCAGUGGCGAAGGCGACAACCUGGCUCUUAACUGACACUGAGGCGCGAAGGCGUGGGGAGCAAACAGGAUUAGAUACCCCUGUAGUCC
rnacentral:rRNA from 1 species